rnacentral:rRNA from 1 species
CACCGCGGUUAUACGAGAGGCCCUAGUUGAUAACUACCGGCGUAAAGAGUGGUUAUGGAAAAUACUUGAUAAAGCCGAACACUCCCUCAGCCGUCAUACGCACCUGGAAGCACGAAGACCUACUGCGAAAGCAGCUUUAAUUAUGCCUGACCCCACGACAGCUAAGAAACAAACUGGGAUUAGAUACCCCACUAUGCCUAGCCGUAAACCUUGAUAGAAAUAUACAAUUGAUAUCCGCCAGGGAACUACAAGCGCCAGCUUAAAACCCAAAGGACUUGGCGGUGCCUCAGACCCACCUAGAGGAGCCUGUUCUAGAACCGAUAACCCCCGUUCAACCUCACCACCUCUUGUUUUACCCGCCUAUAUACCACCGUCGUCAGCUUACCCUGUGAAGGUCCCAUAGUAAGCAAAAUGGGCAAAACCCAAAACGUCAGGUCGAGGUGUAGCGCAUGGGGUGGGAAGAAAUGGGCUACAUUCUCUAAAUUAGAGCACUACGAACCACACUGUGAAAUCAGUGUCCGAAGGUGGAUUUAGCAGUAAACAGAAAACAGAGAGUUCUCUUGAAACUGGCUCUGAGGCGCGCACACACCGCCCGUCACUCUCCCCAAGUUCAAUAUAUCCUUCUAACUAAGAAGUUAGCCGAACAAAGGGGAGGCAAGUCGUAACAUGGUAAGUGUACCGGAAGGUGCGCUUGGAAUAACCAGAGUGUAGCUAAA